AUUGAACGCUGGCGGCAUGCCUUACACAUGCAAGUCGAACGGCAGCACGGGAGCAAUCCUGGUGGCGAGUGGCGAACGGGUGAGUAAUAUAUCGGAACGUGCCCAGUCGUGGGGGAUAACGUAGCGAAAGCUACGCUAAUACCGCAUACGAUCUAUGGAUGAAANCGGGGGAUCGCAAGACCUCGCGCGAUUGGAGCGGCCGAUAUCAGAUUAGGUAGUUGGUGAGGUAAAAGCUCACCAAGCCGACGAUCUGUAGCUGGUUUGAGAGAACGACCAGCCACACUGGGACUGAGACACGGCCCAGACUCCUACGGGAGGCAGCAGUGGGGAAUUUUGGACAAUGGGCGCAAGCCUGAUCCAGCCAUGCCGCGUGCAGGAUGACGGUCCUAUGGAUUGUAAACUGCUUUUGUACAGGAAGAAACACUGGUUCGUGAACCAGCUUGACGGUACUGUAAGAAUAAGGAUCGGCUAACUCCGUG
rnacentral:rRNA from 1 species